rnacentral:rRNA from 1 species
UACGUAGGGUGCGAGCGUUGUCCGGAAUUAUUGGGCGUAAAGGGCUCGUAGGCGGUUUGUCGCGUCGGGAGUGUAAACCCAGGGCUUAACGCUGGGCUGGCUUUCGAUACGGGCAGACUAGAGGCAUGCAGGGGAGAACGGAAUUCCUGGUGUAGCGGUGAAAUGCGCAGAUAUCAGGAGGAACACCGGUGGCGAAGGCGGUUCUCUGGGCAUGUCCUGACGCUGAGGAGCGAAAGUGUGGGGAGCGAACAGG